GACGAACGCUGGCGGCGUGCUUAACACAUGCAAGUCGAACGGAAAGGCCCUGCUGUUUUGGGGUUCUCGAGUGGCGAACGGGUGAGUAACACGUGAGUAACCUGCCCUUGACUUUGGGAUAACUUCAGGAAACUGGGGCUAAUACCGGAUAGUAGCUCCUGCUGCAUGGUGGGGGUUGGAAAGUUUCGGCGGUUGGGCAGGGACUCGCGGCUUAUCAUCUUGUUUGUGGGGUAGUGGCUUACCAAGGCUUUGCCGGGUAGCCGUCAUGAGAGGGUGACCGGCGACAUUGGGACUGAGAUACGGCCCAGACUGCUAUGGGAGGCAGCAGUGGGGAAUAUUGCACAAUGGGCGGAAGCCUGAUGCAGAAACGCCGCGUGCGGGAUGACGGCUUUCGGGUUGUAAACCGAUUUCGCCUGUGACGAAGAGUGAGUGACGGUAAUGGGUAAAGAAGCACCGGCUAACUACGUG
rnacentral:rRNA from 1 species